UACGUAGGGUGCAAGCGUUGUCCGGAAUUAUUGGGCGUAAAGAGCUCGUAGGCGGCUUGUUGCGUCGACCGUGAAAACCCGCGGCUCAACUGCGGGCUUGCGGUUGAUACGGGCAGGCUGGAGUUCGGUAGGGGAGACUGGAAUUCCUGGUGUGAGCGGUGAAAUGCGCAGAUAUCAGGAGGAACACCGGUGGCGAAGGCGGUUCUCUGGGCAUUGACCUGACGCUGAGGAGCGAAAGUGUGGGAGCGAACAGG
rnacentral:rRNA from 1 species